GACGAACGCUGGCGGCGUGCCUAAUACAUGCAAGUUGAGCGCUGAAGGUUGGUACUUGUGCCAACUGGAUGAGCAGCGAACGGGUGAGUAACGCGUGGGGAAUCUGCCUUUGAGCGGGGGACAACAUUUGGAAACGAAUGCUAAUACCGCAUAAAAACUUUAAACACAAGUUUUAAGUUUGAAAGAUGCAAUUGCAUCACUCAAAGAUGAUCCCGCGUUGUAUUAGCUAGUUGGUGAGGUAAAGGCUCACCAAGGCGAUGAUACAUAGCCGACCUGAGAGGGUGAUCGGCCACAUUGGGACUGAGACACGGCCCAAACUGCUACGGGAGGCAGCAGUAGGGAAUCUUCGGCAAUGGACGAAAGUCUGACCGAGCAACGCCGCGUGAGUGAAGAAGGUUUUCGGAUCGUAAAACUCUGUUGGUAGAGAAGAACGUUGGUGAGAGUGGAAAGCUCAUCAAGUGACGGUAACUACCCAGAAAGGGACGGCUAACUACGUG
rnacentral:rRNA from 1 species